rnacentral:ncRNA from 1 species
ACACUCUGGAGAGUCUCACGAUGGAUUUCCAUUGGUGGGCGCCGAAGGGGCACGGACAAUUCGUCCCAAUCUCUCAGGCAAAAGGACAGAGCACA